rnacentral:rRNA from 1 species
GAUGAACGCUAGCUACAGGCUUAACACAUGCAAGUCGAGGGGUAGCAGGGUAGCAAUACCGCUGACGACCGGCGCACGGGUGAGUAACACGUAUCCAACCUUCCCAUGACUCUGGGAUAGCCUUUCGAAAGAAAGAUUAAUACCGGAUGGUACUUUUUCAAGGCAUCUUGAGAAAGUUAAAGAUUUAUUGGUUAUGGAUGGGGAUGCGUUCCAUUAGAUAGUUGGUGAGGUAACGGCUCACCAAGUCUUCGAUGGAUAGGGGUUCUGAGAGGAAGGUCCCCCACAUUGGUACUGAGACACGGACCAAACUCCUACGGGAGGCAGCAGUGAGGAAUAUUGGUCAAUGGGCGAGAGCCUGAACCAGCCAAGUAGCGUGAAGGAUGAAGGUCCUAUGGAUUGUAAACUUCUUUUAUAGUAGAAUAAAGUGAUCCACGUGUGGAUUUUUGUAUGUAUACUAUGAAUAAGGAUCGGCUAACUCCGUGCCAGCAGCCGCGGUAAUACGU